rnacentral:rRNA from 1 species
GAUGAACGCUGGCGGCGUGCCUAAUACAUGCAAGUAGAACGCUGAAGGAAGGAGCUUGCUCUUUCCGGAUGAGUUGCGAACGGGUGAGUAACGCGUAGGUAACCUGCCUGGUAGCGGGGGAUAACUAUUGGAAACGAUAGCUAAUACCGCAUAACAGUAGAUGUUGCAUGAUAUCUACUUAAAAGGUGCAAUUGCACCACUACCAGAUGGACCUGCGUUGUAUUAGCUAGUUGGUGAGGUAACGGCUCACCAAGGCGACGAUACAUAGCCGACCUGAGAGGGUGAUCGGCCACACUGGGACUGAGACACGGCCCAGACUCCUACGGGAGGCAGCAGUAGGGAAUCUUCGGCAAUGGACGGAAGUCUGACCGAGCAACGCCGCGUGAGGGAAGAAGGUUUUCGGAUCGUAAAGCUCUGUUGUAAGAGAAGAACGAGUGUGAGAGUGGAAAGUUCACGCUGUGACGGUACCUUACCAGAAAGGGACGGCUAACUACGUG